rnacentral:rRNA from 1 species
CCUACGGGAGGCUGCAGUGGGGAAUAUUGGACAAUGGGGGGAACCCUGAUCCAGCCAUGCCGCGUGUGUGAAGAAGGCCCUCGGGUUGUAAAGCACUUUCAGUGAGGAAGAACGCCUGGUGGUUAAUACCCAUCAGGAAAGACAUCACUCACAGAAGAAGCACCGGCUAACUCCGUGCCAGCAGCCGCGGUAAUACGGAGGGUGCGAGCGUUAAUCGGAAUUACUGGGCGUAAAGCGCGCGUAGGUGGCUUGAUAAGCCGGUUGUGAAAGCCCCGGGCUCAACCUGGGAACGGCAUCCGGAACUGUCAAGCUAGAGUGCCGGAGAGGAAGGUAGAAUUCCCGGUGUAGCGGUGAAAUGCGUAGAGAUCGGGAGGAAUACCAGUGGCGAAGGCGGCCUUCUGGACUGAGACUGACACUGAGGUGCGAAAGCGUGGGGAGCAAACAGGAUUAGAUACCCCAGUAGUC